rnacentral:rRNA from 1 species
UACGGGGGGGGCAAGCGUUGUUCGGAAUUACUGGGCGUAAAGCGUGCGCAGGCGGUUUUGUAAGCCAGAUGUGAAAGCCCCGGGCUUAACCUGGGAAUGGCAUUUGGGACUGCAAGGCUCGAGUGCGGCAGAGGAGACUGGAAUUCCUGGUGUAGCAGUGAAAUGCGUAGAUAUCAGGAGGAAUACCGAUGGCGAAGGCAGGUCUCUGGGCUGACACUGACGCUCAUGCACGAAAGCGUGGGGAGCAAACAGG